UUGUGUGACAGUAGUCAGUAAGUCAAGCGGGAGCCUAUAAUAAAAGAAAUAUGAAUAUACAUAAUCUAGCUACCGAAUAGGGAGCCUAAGAAAUGAUGAACAUAUCCGAGAACGGCAGCAGGCGCGAAAUUUACCCACUCCCAGCACGGGGAGGUAGUGAUAAAAAAUACGUAUACGGGACUCAACUGAAGCUCCGUAAUUCGAAUGAGUACAAUUUAAAUCCUUUAACGAAGACCGAUUGGAGGGCAAGUCUGGUGUCAGCAGCCGCGGUAACUUCAGCUCCAAAA
rfam:Schistosoma mansoni strain Puerto Rico chromosome 7, complete genome